UAAGAAAAUAUGUAUUCAAAGGGAAAAUAUUCUUUAUUAUUUUAUUGAGAAGCUUUUCUCCUGUUACUUAAAUAUAUAUAUAUAUAUAUAUAUAUAUAUAUAUAUAUAUAGUUGCCGAUCAUUUUUACAAGACACAUGUCAAGAGAAUGAACUAGAAGAAGCAACAGUGAAGCUGGCAUCUGUUAAGAGUGAAGAUACCUGCCAAAAGAAUGAAGUAAUAAAAACACCAAAGUAGAGUUACAAAGUUUACACCCUGGGAGGUUAAGGUGGUUUGUUGACAAAUGUCUGCCUGUUCUUUCAACAUAAACAAAUUUAGUGGUAUAUUAUUACAUAAGAAAAUGCAGUGAAGUACUGAAAAAGUCUGCUCCAACAUGUAAUAUAUCUUCUAAAUUCUGCGGCAUUGAAAGAAAUGGUUUAUUUUUAUCUAUUAUUAAUAAAUAUUUGCCAAAUAUCACUUUUUACUGUUUUUUCAAUUAGUAUCAGUGUUGAAAAAGAGAAGAUGCCACAACUCCUUUAUUUUAUCUCUGGAAACGAAAUAACAUUUACACAUUCACCAUAAAGCAGCUCAUUCAUCAAAAUGUUAUUCUUAAUAGCGGCUGUAAAAAAUGCUGCAUCUGUUAAGGGAAAGAUACUUGCAGCAACCCUAUUGCAUCUUAUUAAACAGUCAUUUGUUUGUUACAUUUAUUUGUACUGUGAUCGGUUGCAUAGCAUAUAUUUUAUUAAGGGUUCAAAGAUGAGAAAAUGUCAAGGCCACCUGAAAAAACAUCCAAAAGGGAACAAAAAAUCUCAAGUUCAAGCAAAUUUGGUGAACUCAAGAACUUGAUUUAGGAAUAAAGACCCAGAAUUUGGAAGGUUUAGGAGGUCAGAAAUUGUUGGUACAUCUAUAUCUGCAUCAAAUGUGAUUGAUUUCCUGAAUAACAUUUUUUUGAAACAUUUUAUCAUCAUUUGGUAUAAUUUAUAUACCAAAUACCCCAAAGUUUAAUUCAACGUGAGUCCCUCGAGGUAAGCAGACGUAUCAUGAUUGAGCUCCUCUCCCUCUCCGUCACCGAUGCCGGACGCAUGAGCCAGCCCCGUAGAUUUAAUGGAUACUACGGAUAUCAACGAUUCUUUGCCUUCAACCUCAACUGCUCCUGUUCCUGCGGAACCACAACAAUCUACAAUAGCGUCUACUUAUGAUGAUCGAAUUGUAGACAAUCUCCUCAUGGAAAUCAAGCAGCUAUACGCUUUGAAAUCCAGAUUCUCCGAACUUGAAGCCACGCUGACUAGAAGCAAGAGAGCCACUCCUUUGUGCAACUUCGACUUAAAGCAAGUGGAGGCCGAGAGUCAGAUCAAAACAGUGGACUGCUGCCUGCAGUAGAGAUCUGCUUAACAAAUCUCUAGAUGAAUUAUACAGAACAGGAAGUGUGUGCUAUAUACAUUGCAUUGUAAGUGACUUCUGCUUGACAAAAAUGCACUACUUGCAUUCCUGUGCAGUAGCAAAAAAUAAAUAAAUAAAUAAAUAGGCAAACAGUUAUGGGAAAAUCAGCAUGAACUAUAUAAUAUUAGGGAUGUUCGAAUGAAAAGGUGUAAAAUGACACUAUGGAUAUAUUGAAGGCUUUAUUCACAAGUAAUCAGCAGAGGGCUGAGCACACUUAUCCCACUGUUUCAGGAGCUGAAGGAUUCCCUCAUGCUAGAAUUCCUGUAGCUGUGACAAGAAGUAGUUCCAAGUUGAAGCACUUCCCUUUGAGAUGUCAAGUCAUAUCAGGUCAUUCACCGUGUCUCUUCUGUUAGAAAGAUUGCACUUUCCAGUCUUUAAAUCUAAAGCCAGUGGAUAUAAUACAGGUAGCAAACAUGAUCUUCAAUCAAUUGAUGAUAUUGUAGUUGAAAGUGUAAGUUGUAAAUCAUAAUCACUCCAGGAUGGAAUAAUAGAAGAAAUUUUACGAACUGAGUUCCAUAUCAAGAUUUGCCAUUAGGCCACUAUCUCUAAUGUAGCUCAUGUCAUAAUUCAAUCCAAAAAGUUAGUGGAGCAUACAUACAGUUACAAAUUUGAUGAAAAUAUGUAUUCUUGAACGUUAAAUAUAAUAGACUUUUGGCAUCAUAUCAAUACAUUUGCAGCAGUUCACUGUGCCCUGUAACAACUGUUGAGUCUGACAUGGAAUCAAAUACCCUGAAUAACUUAAGUGUUUUAGGAGCUCUAACAACAGGCAAUGGGUUUCCUCAAAAAUAAUAAAAACUCAGUAUUAUGAACGUCAAAUAUAUGUUACAGUACAUGUUUUUCUCUUGUGAAUUACUGGUCAUUGAAUUUUAUGUGAGGGACUCGAUGUAGAAUGCCAUGGCAGAAGGAAAAAAUUGGCAAAGGUACAUGGAGACAAAUAUAAUGAUAUUUUUUGUUGUAUAAUAGCUGUAACGGUUGGUGAAUGGUGCAAGAGAAGUUGUGGGAAUAUUUCAGUAGGCACAUCAUGUAUUAUAGGCAAGGCCACUCAAAAGAUAUUAUUUAUUGGUGUCAGAAAUAAAGUGUGUCUUAUCUUUCAGUCAGUCAAACAAGGCAAAAUAAAAGCAAAAGAGCAAUUUUCUUCGAAGAACUGAAACAAUUCUUCGCUGGGAAUGGAAAGCUAUAUGAUAAUAGAAGGCUUUUAGUUCUCAGAAGAAUUGCAUGUUAUUCAUUUGUAGGCCGAGUUUUAAAAUUUGACUGCGCAAAUCAUGCUGUGCAAAGAUAUGGACGAGCACUAGAGAAACUGUUGUAUAGCAGCAUCAGGUUUUCAGCAGCAAAUGGCAUUGAAGCCAAAAAAAUAAAUAAAUAAAUAAAUAAAUAAGAGCCAUAUGUCGAAACUAACACAAAGUGCAGGGGCAGCUAUAAAAAAAACUUGCUGUUUCAAACCAUACAGAACCAACUCGGAAGAUAAUAGAUACAUUAGUACAGGAGUUGCAAAAUUUGCCAAGCAUUCAUGAUGCUUGGCAAAGUAAGAUGGUUUUUCUGCAAAUGAAAGUUUGCUGAUCCAGAUGAAUCUGUUUUUGAGAUGAGUAUUUCAUUUUGAAUUUGAGUAUUUUACAAACAUAGCUGUUAUGGCAUUUCAAAGUCCUGCACAACAGUGGCAAAGGGCACUUUGAAGAAGUUUCCAAACACCUUUAGAUUUUUUUAAAUUCCUGGGGGAAAAAAGUGAAAUUUGAAGAGAAUAAAAGUUGCAGAUUAUUUAAUCUUAAAGAAAAGAAAAGAAUUCAGAGUUUUUUUUUUAACAUUAAAAGUGGUGGAGCACAGGAGCUGUUUCUGCGGAUGUACCUGAAAGCACUCAAACCUACACAUCCUAGCCUAAGCAAAUUAAAAACCAAAAAUUGUAUUUGAUUUAUAACAAAUAAAAACAAUCAAGUUUUAGAUGCUGAAAAACGAAUGAUGUUUGUUCUUUGAAACUGUUUUUGCCAGCUAUCAUCAGAUAGAAGAAAAUGACUCAAUUUUGUUAACAUUUUAAAAUUUAGUAGUAUAUAUUAGAGAAAAUCGGUUGGUUCUAUGCCACAGGGAACUGUUCGUCCUGUUCGUGACGUCCCCCCAGAUUGCAAUAAGCGGUGUCAGGCACAUGUCGCAUCCUUGGCUUUGCGAGCUGCUUUGAAAGUAACUGGAGUCAGCCUGGAACUAUUCAUGGACCUGGAUAAACAUUUAUUUAAUUGAACUGGGUAUUCAUGAUGGCAUUUCGAUGAUAUUAUAUUGACUGACUGUUAGUAACAACAAAUACCUUCCUAACUAGAAUCCAACGUAGCCUUCCAACUAUAUCAUCUAUUUAGAUGAGAAUAAUCUUUAUGGCUGGGUGAUAAGCCAACCUCUUCCCAUGCAUGGGUUUGAAUGAGUGCAUGAACCCAUUGAUUAUAUGAAUAUCUCAGAUGAUGCUGAUGAGGGCUGCUUCCUAGAAGUGGAUUUAGAGUAUCCAGCAGAGCUGCACAACUUCACAAUGAUUACCCACAUCCACUGGAGCAAAUAUUGUCUGAUUAUUCCCGAAAUAUAGCAAAUAAGCUCCAGCUCAUCGUUGGCAACAGUGUGAAGUUAGUUCCGAAUCUUUUCUCAAAGCAGCAUUAUGUCAUCCAUUAAAAAAAUUAUACUUGUCCUUGGGUCUCAAAGUCAUACAAAUCCAUAGGGUGCUUAAAUUCAAGCAAUCUCCAUGGCUAAAAUGUUAUAUUUUAUUCAAUACUGAGCAACAGAAUCGGGCCAAAACAAGCUUUGAAAAAAGAUUUUUUCAAGCUUCUAAACAAUGCUGUUUUCAGAAAAACGAUGGAGAAUCUUAGAAAAGGGCCCAAAUCGAUCUACUACUACUGAUUAGUUACUGAUGAAAAGAGAGCUAAGAAACUUGUGCCUUCUCCAAGUUUCCAAGCAUUCCAUCAAAUAACAGAAGAACUAGUAGCUGUAGGAUGAAAAAAAAAUUAUUUGAUGUUGAACUGUCCUCUGUUCAGGUUUUUCAAUUGUAGACAAUUGCUGCCUAGAUGGUGUAGUGGUUAAUGAUCCUGACUGCCGUAGCCAUGGGCUCAGGUUCGAAUCCUGGAAAAGGCAUGGUUGUAACUGUCCAUCCCUUCAUAGGAGGUAAUGGUGACCAACUAUUAGGUGCUUUCAUAAUGAAAUGGCUACCACUUCCAGCCCUUGUAGUGACACAAGGCCAAUGGCUGUUAAAUAAAGUGCGUGGCCAUUAUUUAAAAAAAAAAAAAAAAAAAGAAACUUAUACAAUUAUGUUUUCACUCUUUCCAUUAUGAGUACAUAAACUCAAAUAUGUAGCUAAUUCCACGCUUCUUUUUACCAAUACUGAUAGUCUUUAUUUGUUGGAAACCAAAGACAUUUAUGUGGAUAUAAAGGCUUAUGUAGCUUUUGGAUACAUUUGGCUAUCCACCAGAUCACCCUCUUUUAGUACGAGCAAAAAAGUUCUCUGGAAGAUGAAAGAUGAAUUAGCUGGUGAAAUCUCUCAUGAGUUUGUAGGACUAAAACCUACAAUGUUCAGCCUACUUGGUAGUUGCAUGGAAAAGAAGACAGCCAGUGGAGUGACCAAAUGUAUUAUAAGACAUCAUAUUCAUCAUGCAGAUAAUAAGCAGUGCCUUCUUUAUCACAGUCGUGAACUCACAUCCAGUCAAUGCAUAACUAGCAGAUGCCAUGAAUUACAAACUGUAUAUUACGCCAAGUCGAUACUGUGUCCUUUUGAUACUAAGAGAUGUCACACUUGCUUAUGGACAUUAUCAAAUAGAGGUGCGAAAUUUAUAACACAUUUACUCAUAUUUCUCUGUACAUUACUAUAUUUUCUUCAAUGUAAAUAGAGAGGUAAAAAUUGACACACAUACUUAGAAUGACAUGGGGUUUUAUUAGAACAAAAAAAAGUUCAAAAAAUGUCUGACGGAUGGCGCUGGACAGCAAAACAUCAGUGACUGCACAUGAAAAUCGUGUAUAAAAGGAGCUGUAAUGAGAAUCAGAUGCACCAGCAGUCACAGCAUGUUGACGUUACCUGAAAAGGCGCUUUUAGUGAAGCUGUAUUAUCAGAAUGGGGAAUGUGCUAGUUCAGCAUUACGAUCCUAUCAGGUAAAGGUCCGUUGACAAAUCCAGGUGUGGCGAGAAUGAUUUCGAAGUUCGAGGCCACGGGUUGUUUACAAGAUAGACCCCGUAGUGGCCGACCGAGCACAAGGCGUAAUGCUGCUGAGACAGUUCAGGAAGAAAUGGAGACUGUAGCGGGUUCGUCUAUGCACAGGGAAGUCAGCGCUCGUGCAGUCGCACGUCGCACCGGCAUUCCAUACACUACUGUUUGGUUGGCACUUAGGCAUACCCUCUGAUGCUAUCCUUACAAAAUCCAUCGGCAUCAUGAACUGUUAUCUGGCGAUUUAGUGAAGUGGAUGGCAUUUGCGGUGUGGGCAUUUCAAAAGAUGGUGGAAGAUGACGAUUGGUUGAGUAAUGUGUUGUGGACCGAGGAAGCUCAUUUCACGCUCCGAGGGUCUGUCAAGGCCCACAACUGCAGAAUUUGGGCUACAGAAAAUCCUAGAACUGUCGUGGAAACUCCAUUGCACGACGAGAAAGUCACAGUAUGGAUUGGAUUUACCACAUCUACUGUUAUCGGGCCUUUUUUCUUCGAGGAAAUACAUGAUUCUGGUUUUGUAACUGCUACCGUGACGGAUGAGAGGUACGCCAAUAUGUUACAGAAUCGCAUCGCCCCCAGCCUGGCUGAUAAACACCUGCUGGAAUGUACGAUUUUUAUGCAGGAUGGCGCUCCACCCCAUAUUGUUAAACCCGUGAAAGAUCUCUUGUGCACGUCGUUUGGUGAUGAUCGUGUGCUCAGCCGCCACUUUCGUCAUGCUUAGCCUCCCAGGUCCUUAGACCUCAGUCUGUGCGAUUAUUGGCUUUGGGGUUACCUUAAGUCGCAAGUGUAUCGUGAUCGAUACAUGUAUCGUGAUCGUGAUCUAGGGAAGCUGAAAGACAACAUCUGACGCCAAUGCCUCACCAUAACUCCGGACAUGCUUUACAGUGCUGUUCACAACAUUAUUCCACGACUACAGCUGUUGUUGAGGAAUGAUGGUGAACAUAUUGAGCAUUUCCUGUAAAGAACAUCAUCUUUGCUUUGUCUUAAUUUGUUAUGCUAAUUAUUGCUUUUCUGAUCAGAUUGUUGCUUAUCUAAUUAUUGCUUUCCUAAUAAAAACCCAUGUUAUUCUAAGUAUGUGUGUCAAUUUUUACCUCUCUAUCUACAUUAUUCUGUGAUUAAGUUUUCAAAUUUAUACUGACUUUUUGAUCACCCGGUACAUAUCCUUUUGAAAUAUUUAUAUAAUCAUGUACAUAUUUUAAAAUGUUUAUACAUAAUCUUCCUUGAUGAAUUUAGUUUAUAGUGUAUUAAUUUAAAAUUAUUUGUACAUAAUUUUUUGGAAAAUUAGAAAGCAAAUUAUUCUAAAUAAUAUCAAAUUUCCUAAGUGUUUAAUAAAAGUGACAUUUAUUCAUGUAUGUAUGCUUUUUCUUAAAAGCGUAUUACAAGGUUAUCAAUUUAUUAGUGAAAUCUGAGUUAUUAUUGAACUGUUAGUCAAUUAUUUCAUAAAAUUGAACUAACUAUAACUAUAAAUAGAAUUAAUUUUUUAAUAAAACUUAAGUUGACAUGGAAGUCUUAAAAUUAAAGCAUCCUUUCACAGUGUUAGUUGCCAAACCUAGGAGCAGCAGAAAGACUGUGUUCAUUAAAAAAUUAAUUGAACAUCAUAUGAUGACUCUGUUUCUUUCUAAAAUUAUUUGGUUCUAUGGUACUUAUCAAAGUGAGAUUUAAAUUUUUUUGCAUUGUUCGUUUAGAAAGAUAUGUGUGAAAGGUCUAGGGGGGGGAGAAAUUUUUUCAAGAUUUUACCUGAAGAAGUGAAAAGAAAGAAGUGACCAGUUUGCAUGAUGUAAACUGUUUCCAUUUCCAUGAACAUUUUGUUAUAUGUGUUUGUAUUGAAAAUUUGAAUCUGAAUCAGCAGUUGCAUUGCAUUAUAAUAUCCCCUGUAAUCUAUGCAUAAAAGCAGCUGUCAAAUCAGCAGCUAUGUGAACAACAGUAUUAAAUUUUUAAGAAACCCUUCAGUGUUAUACAUUCUGAAGAUAGAAAUUAUUGUUUUUAUAAACUCAUUCAGUCUUAGUUACCCAAGCUUUAUCACUUAAUGUAAAAAUAAGAAAGGAAAUAAAAUAUUAUAAUACAAA